ACGAAAUUUCUAAAAUCUUCAUGAAGAACGUGACAUCAUUUUGGAUGGCCUAAGGGGAAUUACCCAUUGAGAUGUGGACGGAACCUUGAGUAAAUCCUCUGGAAACAAACAGGUGAACUGGAGCACCAACACCAGCCAGACACAGACAGGUGCAUUUGAAAGUCACAGAUGACACAUUAAAAGGAUAUUAUACA